rnacentral:misc_RNA from 1 species
CAUGGUCAGGAAAAUACAGUUUCCUAAAGAAAAUCAUUGUUCAGAUGUUGAGAAAGGUUUGGAUGGAGCUCCCAAUAGUAUUUAUCCUCCUCCCUUGGUUAGGAUCUGGUUUACACUGCUUCAAUUCGGAUACAGACAGCUUAGAAUUAGUAACCUUUUCCUGCUUUUUAUUGCAAUUAUUGAGGCUAUUUGCAGUGAUGAACUUCACAAGAAAUAUCUCAGCUUUGCUCCUCUAGGAGUAAUAUUUUGUCUUAAUUUUGUUCUUGCUUUCCAAGAACUAAGAAAACUUAUGAAAUGGGAGAAAGGUAUGAAUGAGAGGAAUGAAAGUUUUCAAAUCAUUGACCUGGUUAAACGCCAACUACGCCAGGACACAAAGUAUCUAGAAGAUCUGGACGUGGGUGACGUUAUCUAUCUCGAACCUAAUGAUAGCACCACAAAGGAGGUAUAUGUACCAGCAGAUGUGGUAUUGCUGGGUGUACAGUGCCAAUGCCACAAUGUGGAGAGUGGAAAGACAUGUGGUCGCUGCUAUAUAUCCACACAACAUUUGAAUGGAGAUACAGAAGUUAUAACUAAACAAGGACAUCCAACCCUCAUGAAUAGAAAUAAUAUUGAUCAUCUGAACUACACUGGGGAGCUAGUAUACGAUGAACCCGAGGAGGGACUUCAUCAGUUCAGUGCCAAGUUUAUUGGGAAGUUUGUUGGAUCUAAAACAGAAGAAUUAAAUUUCAACAAUACUAACUUUAUUCCUCGUGGAAGUACAAUGUUCCAUGCCCAGUCUGUUAUCUGCCUGGUGGUAUAUGUUGGACAGGAAACUAAGAUAGGAAAAAUGAUGGACUCGAAAAUAAAUGUGAAACGACGCUCUAUUUCUGAUCUAGCUCUGGACAAAUGUUUCUUGAGUAUGAUUUAUCUACUGGGGUUUUUAACUUUGUUACUUACUUGUAUUUUCUAUUCUGAACUUAAUUUAGGAUCCUCCUCUCUUUUUUAUGGCGUUAUCAUCGACCCUACUCAGGAGACAUUUCAAACCAACCAUUUUGGAAAUGUGUUAAUUCAAUCCUUUGUAGAAUUGCAAUAUAUCCUCCCUGUUACUCUACUUAUUACAAUAGAAAUUCUUCGAAUUCUCCAAGCCUGGAAGAUUGAAAAAGAUCCUAAACUUACAGCAUCCAUGUUUGCUAACCCACAUUUUACAGAUGAUCUUGGUAAAGUGUCCCACGUAGUACUAGACGGAAAAGCAAUUAUUACAACUAAAGAAAUAGAGGUCAAGUCUCUAAGUGUUCCUUAUGAAAGUUACAAAGUUGAUAUUGCACUAUUAAAAGGAGUUCUUGCUAGUUCAGAUUGUUCUUCUGAAAGGCUUCAUCAACUGCUGAUUAGUAUUGUCCUCAUUUCAAAUUCAACUUCUUUAACGAUCCAAGAGAGAAACGCAGAGGACAGCGCAUUCUUAGAUAUGGCAGAACAACUUGGAUAUGUUGCAACUAUACACAAUGAUUCUCAAACACAGAGUUUGAAUCUGCUAGAUCUAACCUAUGAAGUUGUGGAGAUUCUGUCUUCACACUCUAAGGACAGUGUUAUGAAUGGAAUUAUAACGAAAACAAUGCAACAGAAUAAAGAUAUCUACUCGUAUUUUAUAAAAGGCACAAGAUCCCAACUGGAGGAGUAUAUGGACAUGAGUCUGACUGCAGGGGUUACUGACUUUACCCAUCGUGGAAUGAGCACUUCUUAUUUUGCUUCCGGAGUCUUGAUAAAUUCAGAGGUAGAACUGCUUCUAAACUACUCUAAACCUCAAAGACAAGUUGCUAGACUUACUUGGGUUGAGAAGAACCAAGAGCUUUUCAAACUAAAACCUCAAAACAUGCAAAUGGUUGGCUCUGUAGGUAUGCGGAACAAAGUAAACUUGAAGUGUAAGGACCUAUUCAGGGACUUCAGAUCUGCAGGGUUAAAAACAAUAAUUCUUUCUCAGAAUGCACAGGAGUGUAUUAAAGCCUCAUGUGUUGAGGCAGGCAUAUUAACUGGAGACAAGAUGGAUCAACUUCUGAAGUUUGAAAACCUGAAUUCUAUGAUAAAAGCAAAAACUGACAGAAAAGUCAACUGCAUAAUUGUUAAUGGAAAUACUUUUGCGGAAAAUACGCUUCGAAUUCCUUUUCUAUUGGAAACUCUUAGCCAACAUUAUGAUAGGAUAGUCGUAUCAGGUAUGACAAGCAGGCUCAAAAAACAAAUAGUAGAAGGUCUACUCUCUCAAUUAAAAAGAAAAGAUCCACGGUUAAAACAACGGCUUCUUAAUGUGGUUUGGCCGUUCUCUCAGAAGAGGCGGGAAGCUGUUCUGGUGAUAGGAAACAGUGCACAUGAUGUUCAAAUGAUUCAAGUUGCUGAUUUGUCAAUCUACUUUAAUUCCGAGGAUUCAGAGGAAACCUUUGAGGAUGCUAGAACUUACGGAAACUUCAACGCCAGCUCGUUCCAAGAUUUAAGACGGCUCUUCCUAGUUUAUGGGAUACAAAACUCUUUCAGUGUUUCUAAGGUUUCAUUUUUUAUUCUGUACAGCAAUUUUCUGAGAAUAUCGAUUCAAUUCUUAAUCUGGAUUUUUCUGGAAAAGAAUAUGUCUACUUCUGUCUUUGAAAGUUUUGACUUUUUCUGUUUUAACAUUUUGAUUGGAGUACUUGGGCUCGUCAUUGGUAGGUUUGAGCAAGUUUAUUCAGCUGAUGAUAUUAUGAAGAAGCCUGAUCUCUACCGACAUAGAGGCAAUGAGGUUGAUAGUUCGGCCACUUUAUUCCUUUGGUUACUCUCAGGGUUCAUUCACAGCUUCUUCAUUGUCCUCUGUUUUGCUACUUUGGAAAAUGGAUUUGUUAAUGACCGUUUAACUGGAGGAUCAGAACUAACUUUCCGCAUUUUCCUCAUUCUAGCAAUCAAAAUUGCAGUAACUGAACCAAAUAUAAUCCCAACAAAUCGCUUCUUCAAUCCUAAGUUUGAAUUCAAUAAGAUAACUACUGUAGUUGCAGUAUCUCUACCUCUACUCUAUAUACUCAAGCUAGCAGUAUAUUUUGCAUUUCAAGGGCAAUUGGCAGUAGCAUCAAACUCUGAAGAAAUCUGAUAUUCAAUCCUUUAUUCUGGUGGGUGUCAUUAUUCACAGCUGGAAUAUGUACAAUCGCAGAUUCAGUGUACAAGGGUGUGAAGCAAAUUCUC